rnacentral:rRNA from 1 species
CCUACGGGAGGCAGCAGUGGGGAAUAUUGCGCAAUGGGCGAAAGCCUGACGCAGCAACGCCGUGUGAGGGAUGAAGGCUUUCGGGUCGUAAACCUCUGUCGGAAGGGAAGAACGGGCAUUGGUCUAAUAGGCCUUUGUUUUGACGGUACCUUUAGAGGAAGCACCGGCUAACUCCGUGCCAGCAGCCGCGGUAAUACGGAGGGUGCAAGCGUUAUUCGGAAUUACUGGGCGUAAAGCGCACGUAGGCCGCUUUGUAAGUCAGGGGUGAAAUCCCACGGCUCAACCGUGGAACUGCCCUUGAAACUGCAGAGCUUGAAUCCUGGAGAGGGUGGCGGAAUUCCUGGUGUAGGAGUGAAAUCCGUAGAUAUCAGGAGGAACACCGGUGGCGAAGGCGGCCACCUGGACAGGCAUUGACGCUGAGGUGCGAAAGUGUGGGGAGCAAACAGGAUUAGAUACCCUGGUAGUCCACACCGUAAGGCGAUGAACGCUAGGUGUCGGAC